ensembl:lncRNA
AUAUAUAUAUAUAUAUAUAUAUAUAUAUAUAUAUAUAUAUAUAUAUAUAUAUAAAAUAAUUAUUAUGUGUAUCUGUGCAAAUGCUUCUGGUUCUGCCACAUACCAUAGUCUCUACUUUUGUGGCUAGGCUUUUAAAUUCCGGAGUUUGAGGGUCUUUCAGUGCUGGAACAAACACCUCUAUAAUGACAAUCUGUAUGGCAACAGUUGGCUGAGGACGUGCUGGUGCUGCUGUUGUGGUUGCUGCUGUUGUUAUUGUGGUUGUUGUUGCUGUUGUUUUAGGAUUGGCAGUAGAUGUUGUUGUUGUUGUUGUUGUUUUUGUUGUUGUUGUUGUUGUUGUUGUGGUUGUGGGUGUUGUUGUUACAGUUGUAUUAGGUUUGGCAGUAGAUGUUGUGGUUGUUGUUGUGGUUGCUGUUGGUGCUGUUGUAUUAGGAUUGACAGUAGAUGUUGUGGUUGCUGUUGUAUUAGGAUUGGCAGUAGAU